UCUACUCAUUCUCUCAUUUUCGUCUUCUGCCCUUUCCCCUCUCUCUCUCGACGAGGAAACCCUAGCCGCCGAUCUCCAUCAUUUUUCUUCUCCAUUAGCCUCCGUAUCUUCACCCCUCGACCGCAACCCACCUCUGAGCGGUGGUUACGACAAAAUUGAGCUUUUGAGCGGCCGAAAUCCACGUUCUCCGUCUCCACCCUCCACCGCGUUCCACCGCCUCUACCCUCCACUGUCUCCACCACCUCCAUCCGCCUCGUACACCAGGAUCCGCAGAUCUGGAAUUUUCUUUCUCUGAGUUUGAUUUCUAAGUUCUUGAUUUGUUGCUGUCAAAUGGGUAGAAGGACGAGAAACGAGAAAUAGCUUGAAGGUAAAACAUUGGAGAGGUGAGAGAUGUCAGUGGUGCCUGGAGGGGCUUUCACGCCGGAGCUCAGAAAGAGCGGCGAUGGCUGCCGCCGAUGGAGCUUGUGAGGAAGAAGAAGAAGGGUGCGCCGAUGGAGCUCUGCUUUAUCAAUCCCAUCCCUCUCUCUCUAAACACACAUAUAUAAAUUAAAAGUUUCGAUCUUUAGCUCAGUUUCUCACUUUCUUGAUUGCUUCUGCUUGUUCUCUCACUUUUUUGAUUUUCAUAAUGAUAUUUGGCUGCUGAUGUUCGCUGAAUUCAAUUUGAAAAUUUCAAUUUCAAUUUCAA